UCAGACGAUGCGUCAUGCAUAUCAAUAAGCGGAGGAAAAGAAACUAACAAGGAUUCCCUCAGUAACGGCGAGUGAAGCGGGAAGAGCUCAAAUUUGAAAUCUUGAAAGGUCACCUUUCACGAAUUGUAGUUUAAAGAAGUGUUUUCUGUUACGAUCGUAAUAUAAGUUCUUUGGAAUAGGACAUCACAGAGGGUGAGAAUCCCGUCUAUGAUUGCGAUUUGUAGCUUUGUGAUACACUUUCAAAGAGUCGGGUUGUUUGGGAAUGCAGUCCCAAAAUGGGAUGGUAAAUUUCAUCUAAGGCUAAAUAUUGGCGAGAGACCGAUAGCGAACAAGUACCGUGAGGGAAAGAUGAAAAGAACUUUGAAAAGAGAGUUAAAUAGUACGUGAAAUUGUCAAAAGGGAAGCGUUUAACACCAGUGUUGUUUUCUGAAAAUCAACCUCUGUUAGCUUUAUGCAUGUUUGUUUAGACCUAAUCAGCUAUCUUUCAUGUUCUAUUGUUUGCAGUGGUGCACUUUUCAGUUUACAGGUCAACAUCAGUUUUUUUUACCGUAAAAAAGUUAAAGAAAGGUAGCUCAUGGCUCCGGUCGUGAGUGUUAUAGUCUUUUUCCUAUGCGGUAGGAGAGACUGAGGUCUGCAGUGUAGGCUAUUUGGCUAGAUACUCAGGUGCUAUGUGAUACCAUUUCAUAAACAACUUGUUGAUUAUGUUUUGUCUAUUGCAUACUCGCUUGUACUAUCAUACCUACGCUUAGGAUGUUGACUGAUAUGUAGUCGU
rnacentral:rRNA from 1 species